rnacentral:rRNA from 1 species
UACGGAGGGUGCAAGCGUUAUCCGGAUUCACUGGGUUUAAAGGGUGCGUAGGCGGAUAUGUAAGUCCGUGGUGAAAUCCUUCAGCUCAACUGGAGAAGUGCCGCUGAUACUGACAGUCUCGAGGGAGGUAGGGGUCGAUGGAACUAAUGGUGGAGCGGUGAAAUGCGUAGAUAUCAUUAGGAACGCCGGUGGCGAAAGCGAUCGACUGGACCUCUUCUGACGCUGAGGCGCGAAAGCUAGGGGAGCAAACGGG